rnacentral:rRNA from 1 species
UACGUAGGGGGCAAGCGUUGUCCGGAAUCACUGGGCGUAAAGGGCGCGUAGGUGGCGCUCCAAGUCCGUGGUGAAAGCUCGAUGCUCAACAUCGAGUCGGCCACGGAGACUGGAGGGCUCGAGCACUGUAGGGGCAGAUGGAAUUCCGGGUGUAGCGGUGGAAUGCGUAGAGAUCCGGAAGAACACCGGUGGCGAAGGCGGCAUCCUGGACCGACAUUGACGCUGAGGAGCGAAAGCUAGGGGAGCAAACGGG